GUAGUACUCCCUCCGUCCGGAAAUACAUGUUAUCAAAAUGAAAAAAAGGGAUGUAUCUAGAUGUAUUUUAGUUAUAGAUACAUCCCUUUUCGUCCAUUUUGAUGACAAGUAUUUUUGGAUGGAGGGAGUAUUUU
rfam:Triticum aestivum genome assembly, contig: Triticum_aestivum_CS42_TGACv1_scaffold_424289_5BS